rnacentral:piRNA from 1 species
UGAUAUCCUAGAAUCUUAACUAUAGUAUAU